rnacentral:rRNA from 1 species
CCUACGGGUGGCAGCAGUUGGGAAUCUUGCACAAUGGGGGAAACCCUGAUGCAGCGACGCCGCGUGGAGGACGAAGGGUCUAGGCCUGUAAACUCCUUUUAUCGGGAAAGACUUAGGACGGUACCCGAUGAAUAAGGACCGGCUAACUACGUGCCAGCAGCCGCGGUAAGACGUAGGGUCCAAGCGUUGUCCGGAUUUACUGGGCGUAAAGAGCGCGUAGGCGGCUCGUUAAGUGUGGAGUGAAAGCUCGGGGCUCAACCCCGAAACCGCUCCGCAUACUGGCGAGCUUGAGGGAUGCAGAGGUAUGUGGAAUUCCUGGUGUAGCGGUGAAAUGCGUUGAUAUCAGGAGGAACACCCAUGGCGAAGGCAGCAUACUGGGCAUCAUCUGACGCUGAGGCGCGAAAGCGUGGGUAGCAAACAGGAUUAGAUACCCUUGUAGU